rnacentral:rRNA from 1 species
UAGUAACUGCGAGUGAAGCGGGAAAAGCUCAAAUUUAAAAUCUGGCGGUCUUUGGCCGUCCGAGUUGUAAUCUAGAGAAGUGUUAUCCGCGCUGGACCGUGUACAAGUCUCCUGGAAUGGAGCGUCAUAGAGGGUGAGAAUCCCGUCUUUGACACGGACUGCCAGGGCUUUGUGAUGCGCUCUCAAAGAGUCGAGUUGUUUGGGAAUGCAGCUCAAAAUGGGUGGUAAAUUCCAUCUAAAGCUAAAUAUUGGCGAGAGACCGAUAGCGAACAAGUACCGUGAGGGAAAGAUGAAAAGAACUUUGGAAAGAGAGUUAAACAGUACGUGAAAUUGCUGAAAGGGAAACGCUUGAAGUCAGUCGCGUUGGCCGGGAAUCAACCUUGCUUUUGCUGGGCGUACUUUCCGGUUGACGGGUCAACAUCAAUUUUGACCGUUGGAUAAAGGCUGAGGGAAUGUGGCUUCUUCGGGAGUGUUAUAGCCCUUGGUCGCAUACAACGGUUGGGAUUGAGGAACUCAGCACGCCGCAAGGCCGGGUACUUGUACCACGUUCGUGCUUAGGAUGUUGGCAUAAUGGCUUUAAUCGACCCGUCUUGAA